GUACUGCAGGCAUGAAGAAGCCAGCCUGCAACAUGUAGAGGGUGCAGGAAGGUGAUUGACUCGUGUUAUCAUGCAAGCAGAUUUUCUUAGUUUUUCUGUCCUCAGUAAGAAUUGUUCUAUGAGUUUAGGAUUGGCAUACUAAAUGUUUAUGCCUUGAAUUUGUGGAUUCUUUUAGUAAGAUCAGAGUGAACUGCUUCUUCAGUGCUUUUCUUUGCAGUUCGUCUCCCGCCUGCCAGUUCUUAAUGCAACCCCAGCUAGCUUUUUACAUGUGGUACUGCUGUUGCUCAUCACGUCUUCCUGCUGGACUCCCUGUGUGAGGAAUGUGUCUAACUUUAAUUUCAGAGUAACAGCUCAGUUCCUCCAGAAUGAAACACCAAUGCAAUUAUAGGCCAGAGGUGCAAAUGCCCCUUGCCUUGGGAGAAACAGGCUUCGUCCAUCAAUUAGAGGCAUUUAACGGUUCCCAAGGUAAUUUAAAUGUUUGCAGCCAGUAAUGACAGCUAAUUCUCACUCUUUCAGUCUGAAGGAGCUAUGGUACUGCUUACCCUGUAAGUCUCUUCACAUCUCUCCAGGUGGUCAAGACCCAUAAUGCUGACCUAGGCAGUUGCAGUUCUAUGCCAAGAUGUAUUCUGUUAUAGUUAAACUAUACUUUGUUGGAACUAGCUUGUCUUCAUUGUGCGUAAAACGUUCAUGCUUCCACUUGCUGUAAUAAUAAAACACUUCAUAUUAAUCCUUUGCAGUUAAUGGAAACCAACUAUAGAAAUAGUUCUAAGUUUUCUAUCCAAAACAGUAGGUAUGAUACAGCUAAUUCAAAAAUGUCUAUGCUGUUAAGAUGCUAGUUUUGAUUGAAACCAUUUGUAAUAGUAAAAUGGCCUUACUGUUUUUAUAAGUUGACUUGUAUCCAUUAAGUUCAAAUAUCUCUUUUAGAAAUAUCUCUUCUAGAAAGCUUUUUGGAUUAUUAGAGUAUAAAAAAAGAAGUGUCCUAUACUCAUAACAUAGAAAUGUUAUGUUUGUGUUUUUAUUUUAAUGCACCUGUACUUUUAAUAAAUGAUUCCAAGUUGAGGACUAAAAUGACAGAACACUCCCUUAGUCUUGAUUUGGUGUAAGAGAGUAGUUUAUUCCUUAUUUAGAAGCAAUAUUUUUUUUGGAAGCUAUUAAAUUGACAGUGUAUCACAUUCAAUAUAUUUAUACUAAUCUGCUACCUCAAGACGACCUUCAUCUCUCUCCUAUUACUAGUUAAGCUUAUAUGGUUUGAAACUGUUAACGUAAAAUCAUUGAAAAAACAAACAAACUAUUUUCUUAUAUAUUUUUUUGUUAACCUAGAGCUUGAACUGCUGGUUUAAUCCACUAUCAUAGAUAGUCUCAACUUUCUCAGUUUAUGUUAAGUUGGUGUGACUUAUGCUUGCAGUGGUUGCUCUUUGGAAGUGAGUGAGCAUCAAUCAGCGUGACCAGUGUGUAUGAAUAACAACCAAGAAAUCAUAGAAGCUACGCCAGUGCUUAACAAUAAUCUUGAGAAGUGUCCAACUAUCUGCUUCGUUGGCUGGAAGUUUAAGCCUAGUGAGGUGAUGAAAUCCAUUCAGUGUUAUUACAUACCUUGCACAUUCAGUGCUAUUAUAUAUCCUGUAUAGGCAAGUCUCUUGGUUUGACAUCUGAGUCUUCUCUUGGCAAGUGAUAAUUCUGUGUGUUGUUGAAGUAGUUGAUGUGGGAACGUGAACAAAAUUAAACUAGAUGCCCAAAGAAAAACAAUGCUGUAAUGUCUGGUUCGCAUUCAGAUAUUACUGUUAUGUAGACUGACUUUUUUUUUUAAAGAUAUGCGUUAAGUACAGCACCUCUUUUGAAGAUCAUAGUCUUUAAAAAAGCAUUCAGAUGGGUGUGGUAAUUUUAGUAUUUUAUAUACAAAGAAACUGAAAGUCAAGAGAGGGUAUGGACUUUUACUAGACCAUCUAAUGGGUUAUUCUGGCCGGAGCACUCAGAAGUUUGACAUCAGGCCAGACACCAUGUAAUACAGGAGUGGAACCCCCUUUCUAAGAAAGAUGUACUGUAACUCCUCGUGUUCUGGGACUGUGUAAGCUCUGCCACCCUUCAUGUUCAUGAUGUUAUUGAAAAUAGAACCAUUUGCAAAAUGGUUCACUAUCAC